UACAGAGGUCUCAAGCGUUGUUCGGAUUCAUUGGGCGUAAAGGGUGCGUAGGCGGCGCGGUAAGUCGGGUGUGAAAUCUUGGAGCUUAACUCCGAAACUGCAUUCGAUACUGCCGUGCUUGAGGACUGGAGAGGAGACUGGAAUUUACGGUGUAGCGGUGAAAUGCGUAGAUAUCGUAAGGAAGACCAGUGGCGAAGGCGGGUCUCUGGACAGUUCCUGACGCUGAGGCACGGAAGGUCAGGGGAGCAAAACGGG
rnacentral:rRNA from 1 species